CUCAACAACAUCAUGAUGCUCACAAGACAGAGAAAAGUCUAUCCGGAUCAGAACACCUCAAGAAACACCAGCAGAGAGAUGCUCCAAAGAAGCCCUCAUCGUCAGUCAGUCCUUCUGGUGAAAUAGUAGAGGGCAGUUUAGUUUUGUCAGUGUUUCCCUGG